GGGCCCGCACAAGCAGCGGAGCAUGUGGUUUAAUUCGAGGCAACGCGAAGAACCUUACCUAGACUUGACAUCUCCUGAAUUACCCUUAACCGGGGAAGCCCUUCGGGGCAGGAAGACAGGUGGUGCAUGGUUGUCGUCAGCUCGUGUCGUGAGAUGUUGGGUUAAGUCCCGCAACGAGCGCAACCCCUAUUGUCAGUUGCUACCAUUCAGUUGAGCACUCUGGCGAGACUGCCCGGGUUAACCGGGAGGAAGGUGGGGAUGACGUCAAAUCAUCAUGCCCCUUACGUCUAGGGCUACACACGUGCUACAAUGGCAGGUACAAAGAGACGCGAUCCCGCGAGGGGGAGCAAAUCCCAUAAAACCUGCCCCAGUUCAGAUUGCAGGCUGCAACUCGCCUGCAUGAAGUUGGAGUUGCUAGUAAUCGCGAAUCAGCAUGUCGCGGUGAAUACGUUCCCGGGCCUU
rnacentral:rRNA from 1 species